UAGGGAAUCUCCCACAAUGGACGAAAGUCUGAUGGAGCAACGCCGCGUGAAUGAAGAAGGGUUUCGGCUCGUAAAACUCUGUUGUUAAAGAAGAACAUAUCUGAGAGUAACUGUUCAGGUAUUGACGGUAUUUAACCAGAAAGCCACGGCUAACUACGUGCCAG
rnacentral:rRNA from 1 species